rnacentral:rRNA from 1 species
GAUAAACGUUGGCGGCGUGCCUAAUGCAUGCAAGUCGCACGGAGCUUCGGCUCAGUGGCGGACGGGUGAGUAACACGUAGGAACCUGCCCAGAAGUGGGGGAUAACUCCUCGAAAGAGGAGCUAAUACCGCAUGUGGUCUACGGACCAAAGCAGCAAUGCGCUUCUGGAGGGGCCUGCGGUGGAUUAGCUAGUUGGUGGGGUAAAGGCCUACCAAGGCGACGAUCCAUAACUGGUCUGAGAGGACGGCCAGUCACACUGGGACUGAGACACGGCCCAG